rfam:Spinacia oleracea cultivar SynViroflay scaffold78676.con0001.1, whole genome shotgun sequence.
AGCCUACUAGCUCAAUUGGUAGAGCAUUGUGCAUAUGCACAAAGGAUGUGGGUUCAAAUCCCACGUAGGUUU